AGGUUCCCUGUUGCUGGGGUCAGACUCUGAGGGCAAGCAGUCAGGACUGCUGCUUUCUUUGCAAAGGGCCAUGUGCCCUCUGUGAGUUGGGAGAGGCUGAGCCCAGGAGCAGAAAGCAGGUUGUUUUCCCUAACUCUGAAGCAUUUUGCAGCAGAAUUCAAGCUGACAGGAUGAACUCUAUAUUGUGAUGUCCCACAAUGGCCCAUUUAGUUUUGAUAAGCCUUCUUGAUGAGCAGGAGAUGAUCCCUCCUGACAGGUUCACAGCAAACAUUUUGCAGCACCUCCGUACACACACUGAAUGCUUACUUGCAAGAUCAUCUCUGACAGUGUCACAAGUGAUCUAAGAACUGAGUGACAGAGGAGUUCCAGAAGUGUGAAAGUUACUUAAGAUGGCAAUAACCUUCCCUGUGAAUUUGUCUAAUUUUGAUCUCAUUCCACACAAUGAACAGAAUCAAGAACUAUACACUCAACAAUGUCACAGGAAAGACUGAACCACCUGGCCAUGAUUGCAAUAGAGCUGGAUCAGUCUUGCAAAAUAGAUUUGAAUAGACUAAGAGAUGUAUGCACUCAAAUGUA